GGGCCUGUAGCUCAGCUGGUUAGAGCACCUGCUUUGCAAGCAGGGGGUCAGGAGUUCGAAUCUCCUCAGGUCCA
rnacentral:tRNA from 1 species